AAAAAAAAAAAAAAAAACGGGCGGGAGAUGGGGGGGAUGAACUAAAACAAUUAACGCUAAAGUGGUUAAUAAAGGUGAGUAGAGAGGGUUUACGACUAGUUAGGGUGCGUAUAACCUAGAGUGUGAGUCUUGCUGAGGCACACACACACACACGCAUCACAGCACAGGGAACACUCAAGGAAGCAGGGGGGAAGGAAACUCAAGGGAACUCAUGCCUUCUUGCAACGAGGCUAUAGGGAAUGGGAGGAGCGCGAGGCAAAGAAGGCCCUCUCGAGGCUGUGAAUGGGAAGGGAGCAAGGCUUAAAAGGGCCUCUCCUGCCGUGAAUUCCUUGCUAAGUGGAACAUAAGCGUUACGACCCCAAACGUCCGCCAUCGAUUCCACCUCUUUGACAGGUACAAAGAACGACGCGACUGGGCAAAAGAGGGAAAGGUGAGACGGUUUAUGAGGAAGUUACGGCCAGGUAUACAAGUGCUUACGAGAAGAUGAUGGGAUAACCUUAUUUAUGCUCUAGAUAUUUGCAAGGGAGAAUAAUUAGGAGAGUGAGGUUAGGGGAGGAGGGUCAGAAAAUAAGAGAGGAGAGAAGAGGAGAAAGAAACAGAGAUAUAUACAAGUGCUGAAGAGAUGAAGGAAUAAGUUUAUCUAUGCUCCAGAUAUUUGCAAGGAAAAGUAAUUGGUCGAGUGAGGUUGGUGGACGAGGACUAGGUAAUAACAGGAGAUGAGAGAAAGAGUUAAGGUGGAACGGCUAAUGGGGAAGAAACAGCGACAUAUACGACUGCUUAUGAGAUGAUGAGAUAAAGGUAUUUAUGCUCUAGAUAUCUGCGAGGGAGAGUGAGGUUAGGGGAGAAGGGCUUGAAAAUAAAGGGAGUGAGGUUAGGGGAGAAGGGCUUGAAAAUAAAGGGAGUGAGGUUAGGGGAGAAGGGCUUGAAAAUAAAGGGAGUGAGGUUAGGGGAGAAGGGCUUGAAAAUAAAGGGAGUGAGGUUAGGGGAGAAGGGCUUGAAAAUAAAGGGAGUGAGGUUAGGGGAGAAGGGCUUGAAAAUAAAGGGAGUGAGGUUAGGGGAGAAGGGCUUGAAAAUAAAGGGAGGGAGGUUAGGGGAGAAGGGCUUGAGAAUAAAGGGAAUGAGGUUAGGGGAGAAGAGCUUAAAAAUAAAAGGAGAGGAGAGGAAUGAGUUCAUGAGGGGAAUCUUGACAAAAUUCACUUGUUCCCCCCCCAAAAAAAAAUUAAUGGAUAUGCUUAUUCUAUUGAAGGAUAUUUGUGAAGCUGUUGCGGAGUGAGAUGAAAGGAGGAAGGUAAAGAAUUAAAACACACAGAAACGAAGACAGUUGAUGAAAAGUGUAGAUGAUAAUUUCCUUUUGCUUUUAACAUUUCGUCGGGAUCUGGUUAUUUCACCUUUGGCUACAAUUAUGUAAAGGUGAGACGGAGACUGAGGUGAAGGGGAGGAGGGUUGGAAAUGAACGAGAGAAAGAAAGAGAGACAGUUCAUGCUGGUUACGAUGCAGAAUUUCAGUGCUGACGACAAUGCGGCGGAUUAUACAUAUUUAUUUUUUUAUUUUCAUUUUUAUUUUAUUUUUUUACGUCUCCGCCUAUUGCGCCGGUAGGCUUGCUUGAGGGGCCUGGAUGGUAUUCGGCCCCAGCCCGUCAUGGCGCAGGCAGGUGUUUAUAGUGGCGCCAUCUUAAUUGCUGUGAAGGUAACACGGAAGGGUGAAAAAGGUGAAGCUUGGGGAUUAGAUGAAAGCGAAACCUGAGGAUGAGACGCGGAGGGUGACGAGGACUAAAAAAAAUGAAGGUGAUAAGAUUAUAAGCGUCCGGGAUAUCAAGGGAGAAGGAAGACUGAAACACACACACACACACACACACACACACACACACACACACACACACACACACACACACACACACACGAGAGAAAAUGAUUAUCUGGAACAUGAGAAUAAUACCGAGGAGGAUGUGUUCAGAUGUUUUCGCUUAACAAAUACAUUAAUACAAUUACGAGAAGGCGGAGGAGGAGAACAAGGGAGAAGAAUGAAAUAAUAAGAUCGUGCACGAGAACGAAGGCGAGAUCAAGGAGAACGACGAGGAGGAGGGUAAACUGGAAGAAGAAAGAAUACACUCAUUGGAAGAGAACGAGGACAAGGUGGGAGAGGGAAGGGAAAGGAGGAAAAGAACCUAGAGACGAGGGAAAGCGAGAAUAGAAAGAGGAGAAGGAGGAAGAGGAGGAAAAGAACAAAGAGACAAGGAAAAGCAAGAGGAGAAGGGGACGGAAGGGGAAGGAGAGAAGGAGCAGAAAGAAGAAAAAAAUAUGAAUAGACCGAAUAUUUAAAAGAAGACAAGGAAGAAAAGAACAAAGAAAACAUGAAGAUAGAGAAACAGUAGUGGCUGAAGAAGAAAAAAAAAAGAAAACGAACAAGAAGAUGAUGAAGAAGAAAAGAAGACAAAGAAGAAGAAGAAAAAAAAUGAAAUAAAAGACAAAGAACAGCAACAACAAGAGCACUAUGAGAAGAAAAGGAAGAAAAACCAAG